rnacentral:rRNA from 1 species
AAAUUACCCACUCCCAGCACGGGGAGGUAGUGACGAAAAAUAACGAUACGGGACUCAUCCGAGGCCCCGUAAUCGGAAUGAGAACAUUUUAAAACUCUUUCCGAGGAUCAAUUGGAGGGUGAGUCUGGUGCCAGCAGCCGCGGUAAUUCCAGCUCCAAUAGCGUAUAUUAAAGUUGUUGCGGUUAAAAAGCUCGUAGUCCAAUUUGUGUCCCGCGCCGCCAGUUCAUCGCUCGCGGUGUUAAACUGGUGUGCUCGUGGGACAUCCUGNNCGGUGGGUGUCACGUAUCGCUACGGCGUUGCGUCAUCCUGCUCGUAGCCGCAUAACGCCGGUUGCGGUUCCCAUCGCGGUGCUCUUUAUUGAGUGUCUAGAUGGGCCGGCACGUUUACUUUGAACAAAUUAGAGUGCUUAAAGCAGGUGAAUGUUGCCUGAAUAUUCUGUGCAUGGAAUAAUUGAAUAGGACCUCGGUUCUANUUUGCUGGUUUUCUGAACUCCGAGGUAAUGAUUGGUAGAGACGGAUGGGGACAUUCGUAUUGCGACGUUAGAGGUGAAAUUCUUGGAUCGUCGCAGGACGAACUAAAGCGAAAGCAUUUGUCAAAAACGUUUUCAUUGAUCAAGAGCGAAAGUUAGAGGUUCGAAGGCGAUCAGAUACCGCCCUAGUUCUAACCAUAAACGAUGCCAGCUAGCGAUCCGUCCGUGUUCCUCCGAUGACUCGGCGGGCAGCUUCCGGGAAACCAAAGCUUUUGGGUUCCGGGGGAAGUAUGGUUGCAAAUCUGAAACUUAAAGGAAUUGACGGAAGGGCACCACCAGGAGUGGAGCCUGCGGCUUAAUUUGACUCAACACGGGAAACCUCAUCAGGCCCGGACACUGGAAGGAUUGACAGAUUGAUAGCUCUUUCUUGAUUCAGUGGGUGGUGGUGCAUGGCCGUUCUUAGUUGGUGGAACGAUUUGUCUGGUUAAUU